AGCUCCAAUAGCGUAUAUUAAAGUUGUUGCGGUUAAAAAGCUCGUAGUUGGAUUUCUGCAUGGAAGAAGCGGUCCACCCUUUGGGUGAGUUACUGCUACCUUUUGUGCAUCUUUCUGAGAAGGCGUUCUUCUCUUCAUUGAGAGGCCGCAUGACUCAGAACGUUUACUUUGAGGAAAUGAGAGUGUUUCAAGCAGGCAAAUGCCUUGAAUACGUUAGCAUGGAAUAAUAGCAUCGGACCAUCGUCCAGCUGUUGGUGUCUGGGCGAAGGUAAAGGUGAAUAGGGAUUGUUGGGGGGCAUUCGUAUUUAACUGUCAGAGGUGAAAUUCUUGGAUUUGUUGAAGACGGACUACU
rnacentral:rRNA from 1 species